AGUGAACGCUGGCGGCGUGCUUAACACAUGCAAGUCGAACGAGAACGGGUUAUAGCUUGCUAUAAUUGUCAGCUAAGUGGCGCACGGGUGAGUAAUGUAUAGGUAAUAUGCCUCUUACUAAGGGAUAACAAUUGGAAGCGAUUGCUAAUACCUUAUACUCCUUAUUAACAGAAGUUAAUAAGGGAAAGAUUUAUUGGUAAGAGAUUAGCCUGUAUUGUAUCAGUUAGUUGGUGGGGUAAUGGCUUACCAAGACUAUGACACAUAACUGGUUUGAGAGGAUGAUCAGUCACACUGGAACUGAGACACGGUCCAGACUCCUACGGGAGGCAGCAGUGGGGAAUAUUGCACAAUGGACGAAAGUCUGAUGCAGCAACGCCGCGUGGAGGAUGACACAUUUCGGUGCGUAAACUCCUUUUAUACGAGAAGAUAAUGACGGUAUUAUAUGAAUAAGCACCGGCUAACUCCGUGCCAGCAGCCGCCGUAA
rnacentral:rRNA from 1 species